GACGAACGCUGGCGGCGUGCUUAACACAUGCAAGUCGAACGGUAAGGCCCUUCGGGGUACACGAGUGGCGAACGGGUGAGUAACACGUGGGUGAUCUGCCCUGCACUUCGGGAUAAGCCUGGGAAACUGGGUCUAAUACCGGAUAGGACCACUGCCUGCAUGGGUGGUGGUGGAAAGCUUUUGCGGUGUGGGAUGGGCCCGCGGCCUAUCAGCUUGGUGGUGGGGUGAUGGCCUACCAAGGCGACGACGGGUAGCCGGCCUGAGAGGGUGACCGGCCUCACUGGGACUGAGAUACGGCCCAGACUCCUACGGGAGGCAGCAGUGGGGAAUAUUGCACAAUGGGCGCAAGCCUGGUGCAGCGACGCCGCGUGAGGGAUGACGGCCUUCGGGUUGUAAACCUCUUUCAGCACCGACGAAGCGCAAGUGACGGUAGGUGCAGAAGAAGGACCGGCCAACUACGUGCCAGCCGCCGCGGUAA
rnacentral:rRNA from 1 species